UACGGAGGGGGCUAGCGUUAUUCGGAAUUACUGGGCGUAAAGCGCACGUAGGCGGAUUAGAAAGUCAGAGGUGAAAUCCCAGGGCUCAACCUUGGAACUGCCUUUGAAACUUCUAGUCUUGAGGUCGAGAGAGGUGAGUGGAAUUCCGAGUGUAGAGGUGAAAUUCGUAGAUAUUCGGAGGAACACCAGUGGCGAAGGCGGCUCACUGGACCAUUCUUGACGCUGAGGUACGAAAGCGUGGGGAGCAAACAGG
rnacentral:rRNA from 1 species